UACAGAGGGGUGCAAGCGUUUAAUCGGAAUUACUGGGCGUAAAGCGUGCGUAGACGGUUGCGUAAGUCAGAUGUGAAAGCCCCGGGCUCAACCUGGGAAUUGCAUUUGAGACUGCGUAGCUAGGGUGCGGAAGAGGGAAGCGGAAUUUCCGGUGUAGCGGUGAAAUGCUUAGAUAUGACAUAGAACACCCGUGGCGAAGGCGGCGUGCUGGGUUGCAACUGACGCUGAGAUGCGAAAGUGUGGGGAGCAAACGGGG
rnacentral:rRNA from 1 species